UGUACAUGUAUUUACGUUCUUUAAAUAUUUAAUUGAAUAAAAGCUAGAAAAAUGGUUUCCCGAAGUUUUGGAAACAAGCUUUUCGAGAAAUUCGACAAACAAGAGGCUUGUGAUGUGUUUUUUUCGUGUCCUGACGAUCAACAUAUAACAGCAGAUGAAAAAUUUAAAGUGAUUGGGGCGCACAAACUUAUUUUGAGCCUUGCUAGCGAGGUUUUUGACGCCAUGUUCAAUGGACCAAUAACAAAGAAAGCCAAAAAUGAGGGAUUAGAUGAGCCUUACGUCAUAUCUGACAUUAAAUUUUCAUGUUUUUAUCAACUUUUGAGUUACACUUACGGGAAAAAAGUCUACUUUGUUGAUCUUCAAGCUGCCUGUGACUUUUACUACGCAGCGGGAAAAUACAUUUGCCACGACGCUUUAAAGUUCGUUUCUGAUUACUUAGCUUCAACAUUAAACCCAUUUUCGUUAUAUGAUUUUGCUUCAUUUCAAAAUAACGAAACUUUGAAGCAAGCAGCUAUUAAGAAAUUUAUUACUCUCGACCAGACGCAAAUUUUUCAAAACGAUGACAUUUUGUACGCUAAGCCGCAAACCAUCAACGAUGUAUUUAAACUGGAGCUGAAAGUAAAAAGCGAAAUGAUUCUUGUACAUGCCCUAGAUCGCUACAUCAAACAUAAUCAGCAUCAUGAUCAAGAAAUUACUUCAAAAGUUCAACCAGCAAUACGGAGCAUUCGUUAUCUUACCUUAAAUUUUAAAGAAAUCCUGGAUGUCCCGUUUUUGUCAGCACAAGACAAAAUUGAUUUACUUCACGGUUUACCACCUAAUCCGAAUUUCAGAAAAUUUCCGCGAAUGUUUUCAUUGUGUUCUAAAAAAAGAGGCACCAAACAGCCAAAAGAGCUAAAAAAAUAUUUUAAAUGAUUUAUUGUAGCUAUAUUUUCAUUUUGAUGAAACGUGUUAAAAAAAUGCUAAAUAUUUUGUAGAUUAUAUUUCUUUCAAAUCAAAUAAAAUAAAAUU